UACAGAGGGUGCAAGCGUUAAUCGGAAUUACGGGGCGUAAAGCGUGCGUAGUCGGUUAUCUAAGUCGGGUGUGAAAUCCCCGGGCUCAACCUGGGAAUUGCAUUCGAUACUGGAUAGCUAGAGUUCGGCAGAGGGAAGCGGAAUUUCGGGUGUAGCGGUGAAAUGCGUAGAUAUCCGAAGGAACAUCAGUGGCGAAAGCGGCUUCCUGGACCAGAACUGACGAUCAGGCACGAAAGCGUGGGGAGCAAACAGG
rnacentral:rRNA from 1 species